rnacentral:lncRNA from 1 species
UGUUACACUUUUCAGUAAAGAGGGAUGGAAAAACCUUAAUGAAGGGAUAUAAUCAGGUGCUAGGGUGUAGCACAGCAGUGGGGCAUUUGUCUAACACGCAGGAGGUACAAGAAAAUAAUUACAUUUUUGCUUUAAAAGCCAGUCCCCGACCUCUCAGUCUUCGGUCCAAGGCCAUUUAUACAACCCAAACUACAUAUGCAUUUCAAGUUUUCUGGCAGCUACAUCAACAACAAAUAACAGCCGAAAAAUUGUUGAAAGUAUUUAUAAAGGCUGUCAAACAUUUUUGAGCGAAAAAAAUGUAGAUGUUGUAUUUUAUUAGGAGAAAGAAAUAAGGUAAUAAAUCCAUAGAAAAGUAAAUAGAAAUGAGGAAAGUUUUAACAAUAUAUUCUAUUCAACCCUAUGUCUCCACGGUAUCAUUCAACAUGUAAUCAAUGUAAAGAGUCGUAUUUUCGCGCCGCGUCUUCGGAGUCCUGUAUUUCCCGCGCGAAGCGCCGCUCGGUCUCCCGGGAACGGCCGCCUCUCGGGCGCCCGAGGGUCCUAAGCGGCCAGACGCAUCCUCCAGCUUCGGUGCUCGCCCUUCCGCAGGGGAUGCGCGCCUGACGCCCUCGGCCUUGCUCCACGUCACCGCGCGGCUGCGUCUCUGGACGGCUGGGGCCCGCAGAGCGUGGAGCUCUGAGUGGCCGGACCGCCCGGGAAGCCGCUAGAACAAAGGACGCAGGACACCCGCGCUUCUGGGGGCGCAGCCUACAGACGAGCAGCCCUAUGUCGCCCUUUGACGCCGUCACGCCGCGGGCGGAGGCGGGACUUCCGGGCGGGCGGAGGAACAACUUCCGGAGGGAGGCGGAAGAGGCUCUGAGGUCUCCGCUCUGGAGUCCUGGGAUCGCCGAGGGGCCACCGGAAAGGGUAGCUGGGGCUCGCCGGCCGCACUCGGGGUGUCGGAGCCUCGGUCUGAGGGAUGAGGAGCUGCCAUGGCCAGUGACGGGGCCAGGAAGCAGUUCUGGAAGCGCAGCACCAGCAAGGUCCCGGGCAGAGUCCUUCCUGGCUGUGUCCUUGUAGUAUCAUCAGGAUGUGCACAGAUUGGACCCAGAAAACGUAACUGAUGUUCCCUGCUGUUGCUUGCUGGUAACAGGUUAGUCCUUCCUAUGUUUUCCUUUCUUAGAUUGGAGGAUAAAGUUUCUCCAUGUGGAUGUGAAGCAUGCUGAAUGUUUUGUUCUGUGGUGACCUCAUUACACACUCU